CAAUCAUCAUCCCACCGGGUCCUGCCCGGUGGGGUUGGAAUUGGGCGCUGCCUUUACUGGCUCGCCUCAAAUGCAUCGGUGGUCUACGACCCUUGCCUCGGCGUAAUACGUUUCGUCGCGUCUCGGAUAGGAAGCCUCCUUGAAACCGCCCCUCGGGGACUGUAC
rnacentral:misc_RNA from 1 species